rnacentral:misc_RNA from 1 species
GAUGAAGAACGUAGCGAAAUGCGAUAAGUAAUGUGAAUUGCAGAAUUCAGUGAAUCAUCGAAUCUUUGAACGCACAUUGCGCCCAUUAGUAUUCUAGUGGGCAUGCCUGUUCGAGCGUCAUUUCAACCCUUAAGCCUAGCUUAGUAUUGGGAAUCGACUUUACUGUCGUUCCUCAAAUUCAACGGCGGAUUUAUAGCAAUCUCUGAACGUAGUAAUUUUUUUUCUCGUUUUUGAAAUACUAUAAACCUCAGCCGCUAAACCCCCAAUUUCUUAUGGUUGACCUCGGAUCAGGUAGGGAUACCCGCUGAACUUAAGCAUAUCAAUAAGCGGAGGA